AAUAGUUCCUUUCUAGAGUUCUAUAAUUUAAAGUGGUGUUAGUAAGAUAAUUAAUGCUACUUUUAAAGAACUAAUAUGUAAUAAGUAUUUAUUCUACAUGUCAAAAACUACAAGAUUGCAAAAAAGUCAAUAAUCUUUCGUUUCCUAAAGUACAGUUCAGCCAGAAAGAUAGUACAUUAUAAUAGAAUGUAGUUAAAGACACGCAUGUGUUCGUUGUUAAGGAUAAAUCAAAAGUACAUAUCUGUUCUCUAUUAUAAAUGAUUCAAACAGAUUCCUUUCUGAUUCAAAUUGUUAUUUUAAAUCUUGAACUAAUGUUAGUAACCCAUAGCGAUCUGAUUGAUUUUGUAAUCUUACUACAUAUAUCGAUUCCAUAAAUUAUAAUUUACAAUUCGUCCACGAAGAAAAGGCUAGGCACAAUAGUUACUAUUCUCCGUUAUUAGUCGAGGACGGUGACGAAAAUCGUCCUCGACCAAUAGCAGCUACGUGAACAUUUUGCCCUUUUUUCUCGCAGACGUAUACGUACUUCUCGAUUAUGUAACAUCUAUGUAAUUCGUAUCUACAUGCUAUUUUUCAAAAAGAUUGUGUCUGACACUGUAAUGAUAACUUACUAAAACUAUAAUUUACAUAGCAACAGUAUUACUACACAGAAUGCUGUAAUUCAUGUAUUCUUGAGUAUGUAGAUCUGUUUAAUUUUAAAUAUAACAUACUACACAGUAUUUCUACAAGUAUAACUACAUUCAUACAAGUAUAACUUAGUUCAUAAACCAAAUACAAUUUUUUUACAUAAAGAAAAGUUAGAUUUUUAUGACAUAUGUAUAUACAUAUCAGAUUUACAAAUAUAUCAUAGUGUUAUUAUAGUAUUACUUUAUUGAACCUGAACCAUGGUUUACAUAUGUAAAAUAUAUAUUAUACGAAAUUAGGAAUGCUAUUUGAACUCAUAUUCAAACUAUAAUAGAUGUAACAUUGUGUAAUUUCUAAUAGUAAUUUGUCUUGUUUUUAAUAUUAUAAUAGAAUAUAUAUUUAGGCUGCAAUUCCAACAACACCACAAGCAAGACGAGCUCCAGCAUUUCCUGUUGUUUUUGAUAAUUCAACUCCGCCUUUACCAAGGUCAUCUGGAUCUGCAUGAAC